GAUGAACGCUGACAGAAUGCUUAACACAUGCAAGUCUUUGGCGAAUCUGUGCUUGCACCGGCUAGCCAAGGCGGACGGGUGAGUAACGCGUAAAGAACUUGCCCUGCAGACAGGGAUAACAGACGGAAACGACUGAUAACACCUGAUACAGUUGCCGGCACGCAUGUGCCUGGCAAUGAAAAGAGAUGCUGCAGGAGAGCUUUGCGUCCUAUUAGCUUGUUGGUGAGGUGACGGCUCACCAAGGCGAUGAUAGGUAGCCGGCCUGAGAGGGUGAACGGCCACAAGGGGACUGAGAUACGGCACUUACUCCUACGGGAGGCAGCAGUGGGGAAUAUUGGACAAUGGGGGCAACCCUGAUCCAGCAAUUCUGUGUGCACGAAGAAGGUUUUCGGAUUGUAAAGUGCUUUCAGCAGGGAAGAAGAAAGUGACGGUACCUGCAGAAGAAGCGACGGCUAAAUACGUG
rnacentral:rRNA from 1 species